CUACAGAUAAAUACAUAAAUAAAGUACUGGGAUGACCUCUGAUGCUCUGAUGGAACUGUUUAGGCAGAAGCCCCUCGGUUUCAGCCUGGAGCCACUAAAGGAUGGCUUGAGAUGGGUCAGGCUGCUUACUUUACAAGAGUUAAGGAGUCUGUAUGUUGAGGAGUUCUUGUCUUGUGCCUCAGCCAGUCUGCCUGCAUGACAGCCUGUCUAGUAUCUGGCAGACCCAAGGGUCGGUGCUGAGCCAGGCAGAUAUCCUGCCCUUGGUGCCACUUCCCCCUGUUGGGUCCAUACUCACCGCUCCGCGAGCUGGCGGUGGGCAUUCCUGGACCUGCACUCGCACAGUGGAGAAGCAUCACCACUGCCAUGGGCAGGAGGAUGAGGUUCCCACGGAGCUGGUGUGUCCCAGCCUGCAGCCCUGGGGAGGGAAGGAUGCAGCACCAUCAGGACCCCUGGCAUCUCCCCGCCCCUCGGCGGCCCUGGGGAGCUCUGACCAGGGAAUGCAGAGCUGCAGAACCAAGAUCCAGAGGAUGAGUCCCACGCUACAGACACCAGCUACCAGGUGGAUAGGAGAAAGUCUCUUGUGUGUGCAUGGUGACCUGAGCCCAAACCACUGGACUGUUGGUGGCCACCAAUACAACCCACGCUCUGCAUCAGCUCAGUGCAGGGGGAGAUGCCAGUCCCAGGUGGGGAAGGGCCCCUGUGCAACCACAAGUGCCACAUGUGCUGAUCAGGAGGACAUCAGCAUGGGAAAGGACCAAGCUGAAAUGCAGGGCUCCAUACUAACAGGACAGGGCUUAGGUAGCCUGCAAAAAGCAUAAGGUACCACCAUGGAUGUAUGUCACCUACUGCUUUGGUCUGCAUCCCUUCUAAGAUCAUGGUGCCGGGCCAUGUGUCACCCAGGCCAGGUCAUGGCAGCUGUCCUGCUGGUUUCCUUGUGCCUUUGUAUACUCACCCUGUGCAGGUCUGGUUUGAGCCCAGCAGCACAGCUGAAUGCAGCUUAACUCUGGGAAGAUAACUCACCCAUCACAACAGCACAGCUGAGCAGAGAGCAGGAACCCAGUGGUGCACCCUCCCAUGCCAUGCUCUGCGUGGUGACUUUAUAGGUACCACACACUCCCACUUGUGCUCACACGUGUUGUUUGUAGAGGCACUAGGAGAUGCUCGCAGACUG
ensembl:lncRNA